UAUUUUUAGCUGAAAAGACGUAAAGGCAGUCAGCCCAGUGGUGUUUCUGGAGAGGGAUUCCUUCAGAAAUGGAGAAGACAGAAAGCUGCGGAGGCAGAUAUAUGCAGCAUGUUCAAGUGAGCAUGAUGACCACAAGUGUGUGUCGAACUUUUCAUGACCUGAUGACUGUGUUUCCCAAUCCUGAUCCUGGAGAACCCCAGCACUGCACGGUUUUGGCGUCUCUCUUAUCUGCCUUGGAGUCUUCACUGAUGAGCUGAUGAGUUGAAUCAGGAUUGUUUGAGGAUAACGCUGCAGUUCUCCAUCAUGCACAAGGACUCACCUCGUUAACUCUUUAUCCCCCGCACACACAGAAAUGGUCCCUGGAUCAGUGAUUAGACUUUGCAGUGGUUUGAUUUUUGCAGAAGAUGUAACUUUGUUUUAAUUAUAAGCUCAUAAUGAAUACAUUACAGAACCAGUGAUGAAAACAAUAGUUAAAAAUAGCGCUCCAUAUUAAAAAUAUAUUGCACACUUGACAUGCAUGUCUUCAUGGUGUUUUUUUGUGAGUUUGAAACAUUUACAUUGUGUUGUAUAACAUUUUGGUCACAACACUUUUUCCAGUGUUCUCUGAAAGACAUACUGUAUUUACUGUUUUGUUUUUUAAUAAAAGCAUUUUCAUUUGCAUACUGAAAAUAGUUAAUGUUUACAACAUAACUGCCUUUUUGUUCUUUAUGGUGGCAAAAACGAGCUUGGUGACAGAGGAUGCAGUGUAGUAAUUUGGGCAUGUUGUCUUUAAAUGAGUUUGACAUAUAAAUAAAUAAUGGAAGAUCCUUACAAAAAUAUGCAUGUUUAUUAUGCUUUAUGUAUUUAUUUGUUCAUUCAUUCAUUUAUAAUUUCAGUUUUUAUUCCUAGAGUUCAAAUGGUAGAGAAUGGUA